GGCGAUUUAGCUCAGUUGGUUAGAGCGUGUGCUUAACACUAGCAGCCUACCUCCUCUUGGAGACGGUUGAAGAGUUGCGCACAAGGUCGGCGGUUCGACCCCGUCAAACGUCA
rnacentral:tRNA from 1 species